rnacentral:lncRNA from 1 species
GAAUAAUUUAUACAUAUUUUAUACAUCUUUUUUAAAAUUAAAUAUAUGUCUUAAACACUAAAACAAAAAAAUAUGCGAAUUUUUUAUGAAUAAUUUGAUGACUUAAAUUAUAAUGUUAUGAUAUUUGAGUUUUUUAAAAUUCAAAAUUCUAAAAUAUAAUGUAUUGAUAUUAUAAUAUGUUGUUUAAAAAAAAUUACAAUGAAAAAAAGAAAUAAAGAAAAUGACAGUUUUUAUGGAGAAAUAUGUGUUAAAUUUAUGAAAAAAA